UACGAGGGGGCGAGCGUUGUUCGGAAUUAUUGGGCGUAAAGGGUGCGUAGGCGGUUCCGCAAGUCCUGUGUGAAAUCUUCGGGCUCAACUCGAAGUCUGCACGGGAAACUGCGGGGCUUGAGUGUGGGAGAGGUGAGUGGAAUUCCCGGUGUAGCGGUGAAAUGCGUAGAUAUCGGGAGGAACGACCUGUGGCGAAAGCGGACUCACUGGACCAUACGUGACGCUGAUGCACGAAAGCUGGGGGAGCAAACAGG
rnacentral:rRNA from 1 species